GACGAACGCUGGCGGCGUGCCUAAUACAUGCAAGUCGAACGCUGAAGGAGGAGCUUGCUUCUCUGGAUGAGUUGCGAACGGGUGAGUAACGCGUAGGUAACCUGCCUGGUAGCGGGGGAUAACUAUUGGAAACGAUAGCUAAUACCGCAUAAUAGCAGUUGUUGCAUGACAACUGUUUGAAAGGUGCAAUUGCACCACUACCAGAUGGACCUGCGUUGUAUUAGCUAGUUGGUGGGGUAACGGCUCACCAAGGCGACGAUACAUAGCCGACCUGAGAGGGUGAUCGGCCACACUGGGACUGAGACACGGCCCAGACUCCUACGGGAGGCAGCAGGAGGGAAUCUUCGGCAAUGGACGGAAGUCUGACCGAGCAACGCCGCGGGAGUGAAGAAGGGUGUCGGAUCGUAAAGCUCGGUUGUAAGAGAAGAACGAGUGUGAGAGUGGAAAGUUCACACUGUGACGGUAGCUUACCAGAAAGGGACGGCUAACUACGUG
rnacentral:rRNA from 1 species